ACCUCCUCAAACACGAACUCAAUGUCCACCCAGCUUCGGCUGAUAA
rnacentral:sRNA from 1 species